rnacentral:rRNA from 1 species
UACGUAGGGUGCGAGCGUUAAUCGGAAUUACUGGGCGUAAAGCGUGCGCAGGCGGUUGUGCAAGACAGAUGUGAAAUCCCCGGGCUUAACCUGGGAACUGCAUUUGUGACUGCAUGGCUAGAGUGUGUCAGAGGGGGGUAGAAUUCCACGUGUAGCAGUGAAAUGCGUAGAUAUGUGGAGGAAUACCGAUGGCGAAGGCAGCCCCCUGGGAUAACACUGACGCUCAUGCACGAAAGCGUGGGGAGCAAACAGG